rnacentral:tRNA from 1 species
AAGACAUUAGUAAAAUGUAAAUUAUCCCACCUUGUCAAGGUGAAGUUGUGGGUUAAACCCCCGCAUGUCUUA